AGGGGUGAUAGAAUGAUGAUAUAGGGUAUUUUGUGCUGGUCCUUAAGGUCUCUGAAUAGGGUGUGUAACAUUGGUUGGGCUGAAAAUGGCAUAUGUGCUGUUCUAUGCGCCCUAAUGCAAGCCUGGUUAAAAGCCCUAGAAUGAAACGAGAGGUUUUCUUCCUUUUAUGGUAUGCUCAUGAAUAUUUAGAUAACCUGCGUGCUGAUUGGUUGGUUUACAACGAGCGAAGCUCCGGAGCAAAGACGCAAACAUGGCCGACAGCACUCACUGAAACAGCCAAGGUGGAAAUACUAUGGAGACAUAGGUGUUGAACAGCAUAUUUGAGCCUGAAUCAGAGGAAGAAUCUGAAAUAGAGGAGCAACCAGUCGCCCAUAGAUUGGAAAUGACUACUUCAGAGUGGUAAGUUUUGUCAUUUACUUGAGUUUGCAACACGUAGCCCAGUUAGCUAGCUGUAAUACUCGCACGUUAGUGUCGUAGACUAAGCUAAACAUUGCAUUAGGUUCGUUUUUAGCAUUGUAAGCAACAGAAGUUAUUAAUUUGCACACAAACAGAUGUUUUACAACUUGUACCCUUGUGCAAUUUUUGUCAAGAUGUCCAGUUAGAAACUAGCUGAAAAGUUUGUAGCCCGUCGUGGGCAGUUCAGGCUAUGCUGUAGUGAAAGGAGUGCUGCUUGCAAGGAAAGUACUCGUUUUAGUCAGUUAUUAAAAGAAUGACCCAGGUUCCUGAGGAGCUGACCUGAAUGACCAUCAUGUUGUGCCUCUAUAUUCUUUGCAAAAUGCAAUGAAUAUUUACAGAGCUGACCAUGGCCGUUUGAGAAUCAGAGGAAUGGAAAGGCAAUGAAGUGACUUGGCCUACAGGUCUUUUGUGAGUAGGAG